rnacentral:rRNA from 1 species
UACGAAGGGGGCUAGCGUUGUUCGGAAUUACUGGGCGUAAAGCGCACGUAGGCGGAUCGAUCAGUCAGGGGUGAAAUCCCAGGGCUCAACCCUGGAACUGCCUUUGAUACUGUCGAUCUGGAGUAUGGAAGAGGUGAGUGGAAUUCCGAGUGUAGAGGUGAAAUUCGUAGAUAUUCGGAGAAACACCAGUGGCGAAGGCGGCUCACUGGUCCAUUACUGACGCUGAGGUGCGAAAGCGUGGGGAGCAAACAGG